ACAGAGAGCCGCCAUAUUGAUUUACCUAUUUAUGUAUGCGUGUCAAAGGUCAUAGGGGAAAAACCAGCGUAAACAAUAUGGAUGCCACUUGUUGAUGUUGCGAAUUUCUGUUACCUUUUUCGAUAUUUUACUGGAUUUUUGAUACGUUUUACACACAUAUAUUGACACAAUUUUUCCACAUAAUGGACACAGAGGACAAGACUGAAUUACAGGACCAUGAGCAUGAUGAGGACUCGGCAGUUUUAUCAAUAAACCAAUGUAAACAUAACCUGACUGCAUGAGCUUCGCGAGUUAUCAUUAGGGCCUGUAUCAGUGUAUGAAAACUGCCUGGCAAGAUUCAAAGCUUGGAAUGGAGAAUUGGGCAUCAACUUUCAUCACCGAUUUAUAACAGUGUUUUUAAUGAGGUAUGAGACAGAAAAAGAGGGCAAAGAAACAUUAAACCGGUGUAAAGUUGGGAAGGCCUACCAGUACUUCCAGAGCCAGUGACUGUCACUGAAAGAAGUGUUUUACCACCCUAUUGACAGAACCAGUCCAUACUGCUUUCUGUGUGCCGCAUGUACCCCUCACAGAGCCUGUGUUCUGAGCCUCAUACAGUGUUUGGACAAACAUGUACCAAUCAUGUUGCAGGAUUAAGGAUAGUGAGGAGGACAACUUUUAAGCAACCUUUUCAGAUGCAUUUAGAGAAACCUUACCCGAUGCUUGUUUAUUUAAAG